CAGCCGCCACGGGAAUACGUAGGUGGCAAGCGUUGUCCGGAAUUAUUGGGCGUAAAGGGCUCGCAGGCGGUUUCUUAAGUCUGAUGUGAAAGCCCCCGGCUCAACCGGGGAGGGUCAUUGGAAACUGGGAAACUUGAGUGCAGAAGAGGAGAGUGGAAUUCCACGUGUAGCGAUGAAAUGCGUAGAGCUGUGGAGGAACACCAGUGGCGAAGGCGACUCUCUGGUCUGUAACUGACGCUGAGGAGCGAAAGCGUGGGGAGCGAACAGGAUUAGAUACCCCCGUAGUCCCUGUCUCUUAUAC
rnacentral:rRNA from 1 species